GCCAGGUGUUGUGGUGCACACUUGUAGUCCCAGCUACCUGGGAGGCUGAGGUGGGGGGAUCGCUUGAGCCCAGGAAGUCCAGGCUGCAGUGAGCUAUGAUCAUGUCACUGCAUUCUGGCCUGGGUGACAGAUGGAGACCUUGUCUCAA
ensembl:misc_RNA Metazoa_SRP Metazoan signal recognition particle RNA